rnacentral:rRNA from 1 species
AUUGAACGCUGGCGGCAGGCUUAACACAUGCAAGUCGAGCGGUAGCACAGGGGAGCUUGCUCCCUGGGUGACGAGCGGCGGACGGGUGAGUAAUGUCUGGGAAACUGCCUGAUGGAGGGGGAUAACUACUGGAAACGGUAGCUAAUACCGCAUAACGUCGCAAGACCAAAGAGGGGGACAUUCGGGCCUCUUGCCAUCAGAUGUGCCCAGAUGGGAUUAGCUAGUAGGUGGGGUAAUGGCUCACCUAGGCGACGAUCCCUAGCUGGUCUGAGAGGAUGACCAGCCACACUGGAACUGAGACACGGUCCAGACUCCCACGGGAGGCAGCAGUGGGGAAUAUUGCACAAUGGGCGCAAGCCUGAUGCAGCCAUGCCGCGUGUGUGAAGAAGGCCUUCGGGUUGUAAAGCACUUUCAGCGGGGAGGAAGGUGGUGAGCUUAAUACGUUCAUCAAUUGACGUUACUCGCAGAAGAAGCACCGGCUAACUCCGUG